AGAGCCCGGCCUCCGGCUGGGGCCACCCAGGCAACCGAUAUACACAGAGAACCACGUGGAGGAAAAGCACGCGAGUUUGGAGCGGGUGGAGCAGGAACAGAGGUGGACUGGAAUGUCACACGACGGGGCAGCUGGAAGGGCACCACUGAGUUCAGUACUUCAAAAUUGCCGUGCUCUACCUCUCCCCAGUGCACAAAAACACUCUCCACACCAAGCUGCUGCUGCUGGGGGAUGGAGGGAUGGCGUCAGCGAUUCAAGACUGUUUUUCCUACCUGUUCAGCACUUCUUUCAGCGAUAUGAAGUUAAAUCCAGGUCCCACUGACCCCAGCUCUUCCUUGUGCCGGGCAAAGAUGCCUCCUGUGGGUCUGCACAGGACAUGUUUCUCCUUGAGUGUGUUGGGGACAUUCCAGGCCUGAGAGUGUCCUGAGGCUGAGAGCCCCUGUUGAGCAGAAGAGAGCUGAUGGCCCUCUUGCCUGGCCAGGACUCUCUGAAGGACUCCAGCUCCAACAUUUUCUCACUAGUAAAUGAGAUGAUUUACUCUUGA
rnacentral:sRNA from 1 species